GGGCCUGAUGGCUCUUGACAGAACAAACUGAACUCAGUGACCAAAGAGGUUCUGCCAAGUCCUAUAUCUGAUGAUCUGAAAACCAUCUAAGGAGACCAUAUCCUGUUGAUCUGCAAAGACAGAGGAGGUGGAAACUGAGUCUCAGUCUCUUCAGGGCUAAAUGUGGGAUGAUGUCCUUGAGCAACAGCAUUUUCAUAGCAAAAGAGAGCAGGAGUAGCUCCUGCAGAAAUACACAAAGCUGUGGAAGAAUGGACUGGAAGAGUUAUUUGUCCUAAUCUGUGUUUGCAGUAUCAUCCAUCCUGGGUAUGCUACAAACAUGAAAAAAAGAGGAAGAUAUCUAGAUACUAACUUUAAAAUCAGCAUAUAUUAAAUUUAAGAGCUUUUAUAUCCAAAUGGCUGCUCCAUGCCCUAAAUUCUCUGAGCUGUGCUUAAUUCUUUUAGCGCAUGUAAAAACCACCCACCCACUACUUCAGAGCCAUUUUUCUUUAUCUAAAUGAAAUUUCUUUAGUUCCAUUCAUCUUUACAGCUCAUUCAACAGGUCGCUCCACAGCAGUGAAGGGAAGCAUGUUUCAAUGUGCUAAUCCAGCUCAGAGAUGGAUUAAUUGACUCACAGGCCCCUCUGAUCACUAGCCAGAUGUCUCUCCCCAGCUGGCAAGCCUUACUAAUUUUCUUGUUGUUGUUGUAAUUCUGGGUUUCCAGCCAGCGGGGGCCCUUCUCCACUCAAUCAAGGGCAACAUGCCCUCUGCCGACAUUUUGUAUUCUUUGGCCUGCUUUCCCUUGGGCAAAGGCAUUCAGCUAUAAACCUCCUCUCCUGGCUCUUUUUCAUCUGGAUGGUGGCCCCUGGGCCACCAUGGGAUGGUGCUGUGCAUGCUCAAGUGUUUUGGAACAUUACUGUGAGUACAUUGAGUAGAAAUUUAAUCUAGAAGGAUUCAUCUGGAUGGUGCAACCUUUAUUUGCCUCCACAGCGACUUUCUCACAGAUGACAUGGAGGAAAAGAAGCUGCAAAAUAUUCUUUCAUGACAAGAUCAAGAAGAACGCAGCUUGAAGAGAGAGAAGUAAGAAGUUCAUCUAAGGUGUGAAAGCAGAGUUCAGCUGUGUUUGUUAUGGGCCAGAUUCUUCCUACUCCAUGUAAAACUGGGGAGGAGGUCAUUUGUUUAGCAUCGGAGCAAUUGCUUACAGUUUGCAGGGAUGUAAAUAAGAAGUGUCUCAUUCUUGCAAUUUAAUGUCUUUGGUCUGUUUUAGCUUAGUUAUGUGCCUGGUAUAAAUCUCACCGCUAAUUUCUUUUCACAUUAAGCAUAGCCCCGAGGAACUUGUUUUACAGGGAACUUAAGGCUUCGACCUUUGAUCACCGCAACCUGACUUCUCACAACCCUGAAAACAAGCGUCUGAAAAAAUGAAAUGCGAACAACGCACACCAUCAAUAUCAAUUACUGCGUUGUUAUGUGGUAAAUUUCCCCCACAGGGGGUGAGCAAUUCACUUGACGCGCUUGGCAAAGGGCUUGAUUCUCCUCCCUGCCGGCAGCGAGGCGGUGCUGGCAUCUCUCUGUAUAUUUCAGUGGAGUAAGGGAGUGCAGCGUCAGACCCAAAGCCUCUGUGAGCGCAGGGAAAAGCAGUCUCUGUCAGGAAAAGCUCUCUGCAGCCUGAACAGCAAGCUGCAAUCUUUGAAGGGAAGACUUCAAAGAGAACAGGAGAAAAGAAACAAUGUCCUAAUCUUCAUACAAAUGUGCUCUGGGGGCUCUGAAACUCAGACGCUUAUGAAGUUUAAGAAUUAAUUAUCAUUUGCCAGAAGCAAGCUUUAUGCACAGGUAACCGGGACAGCAAUCUGAGACCUUCGGGUGCAAAAUUUAUGGAAUUAUAUCAAACCGAUUAAAGCUUGAUAAAUCACCAGAUUUCCAUUUGGUGUACUUCUCAGAAAUAUGUUGGUACGAGAAUUGUGACUUGCGGGUUCUCAUUAAAACAAGCAGCGUAGUGGGCUGGAUUUUUGGUUCCCAUAGAGCAGCACAGCUCAGUUGACUUCUAUUUACUGCAGCAAAAGAGAAGACUCUAAAACAUUUGUCAGCUCCACAGCUGUAUAAAUAGUGAGGAGCACUGUGAAUGACUAAAAGCAAAGCAGGGCUAUUCUGAUUCCUCUUUGCAGAAAGGUGUGUGUAAAAUGUUCCUCAGACCAGCUGAGGUGUCUGGGAUAUCUCCACACCUCACAGGCUUUAUUGCAUUUGUGCUUUACAACACCCUUUUGACUGAGCAUUCCUGUUACAUCCAUUUUUCACCUUAAGUUUGAAGCGUAAAGAGGUGGUAUGACCCUUGGUUGCAAGGCAAGCUAGUGGUGAAAUAAGGAAUUAAACAUUUAAGUAUCUGGAGGACUCAGUUAUGUGAUGGAGUUAUUGUGCUCAAGAAAGGGAACGAUUUAUUGUGAAUACCUGGCAAGAAACCUUAGCAGGUCGUGGUGACGUGUGUAGCUGAAAUCCUCUGUUUUCCUCAAGCUGAAGAUGUGAACUCAGCUGGCCCGUGUGGCUCAGCUGCUGCAGAGAAACACAUUAAACCCCAAUAACUUGUUUGCGCAUCCCAGCCCUCUCUUCUGUAAAGCACUAUCUGCCUCUCGCCUUUAAAACUUCAAUGAAAACAGUUGCUGCAGAAGCUUGUGACAGCUGCACACUAAAAGAAACCAGUUCCCUGAUAUAAGCAAGGGUUUUCAGAUGUGAACAGCUAUAUCUGAUUUACAAUGAAAAAAUUUCUCUUCUCUUAUAAAGCCAGUGAGCCAAGUUACCUGUACAGCAGAGAAAAGGGAUGAAAGGCAAAGAUCAGGUCAAAUACAACCACUUUGAGAGAAUGAGUCUCCCAGGCAGGAUUGCAAUUGCUUCAUUUUGUGGUUAUAGCAGCAUGACUUUCGAGGUUAGAUGGAAUUUGUCUUGAUAUUUGCCCACCAGCAAUCAGAAGGCAUCAGUGACUGUUGUCUCCCAAUGCAUACAAAUGCUUUGCACCCAGAUAAUUCACAGGUGCAUUCGCUGUGCACCACCAGAGUUGCUGCUGCUUGGGAGUUACUGGCCACCACAGAGGCUCAAAAUAACACAGGGGCACUACAUUACCCCAUAUUAGCAUCCCGAAGGAUGCAAAAGGACAGAGCUUGACCCUGGUGUUGCGUUACAGCAGGGCCAUGUGUGUUUGUUUUCCAGAGAAUUUUUCUUCUGCAAACAUUCAGAAAACUCCCAGGCAGGCUCCUCUUACUGGCUGUUGCAGCUCCCAGGACAACAAAACCAAAGGUAACUGGGUGCUGCCUCUCCCCACCAAAAUGGGAAAUGUUGACAUUUCAAGUAUUUGUCUAACUGCGGAUAGUUGACACAGCUUGUGAGAAAUUACCCUGGGAGGAACGGAGCCCUCCCAGACUCCUCUGCUUCCUUUGUGCUCCUCUCAGCUCCUGCUGGGUGCUUCAAGUGACCCCACCAGGAAUGUCUCUGCCCCAGAGUAGGUUCUCCACCCUUCCUCUGGGUUAAUGUUAUCCUGCACACCUUCCAGAGCAGGGGACCAAGGGACAUGCAGUGAUGGGACCCAUGGGGACUCUAAAUAUAGCUGCAGCUCUCCUGGCAUCCACUGGGGCCCAGGUGGGAUAAAACAGGCAGAUGCUGGUACCCAAAGAGGAAAUCUGGCUCCUAGUUAUUUUUUUUUUCCCACUGAGAGAUUUUUCGCUGUGUUUGUUGUAAGAUUUCGGUGUCACUUAUCGCAUGUCUGCUAUAAUGCAUUGCCUGAGGCAUAAUUAAAUUCAAAGGGCAUGUCUGUGUUGAAAAGGAGGGUUGCAAUUUGUUGGUGCUCAGAUUUUUCAUUAAAAACCAAGCAGCUUUUUUGACUGGCAGGGACGAUGGUUAUAGAACAAAAAUGAUAUUAAAAAAGAGAAGGGAAAUUCUCUGCCUGCCUGCCUUCCUUCCUUCUUUC